rnacentral:rRNA from 1 species
AGCCGCGGUAAUACGUAGGGGGCGAGCGUUACCCGGAAUCACUGGGCGUAAAGGGAGCGUAGGUGGCCUAACAUGUCAACUGUGAAAACCCGGAGCUCAACUCCGGACUUGCAGUUGAAACUGGUAGGCUUGAGGACGGUAGAGGAAGACGGAACUGCCAGUGUAGGGGUAAAAUCCUUAGAUAUUGGCAGGAACGCCGGUGACGAAGGUGGUUUUCUGGGCCGGUUCUGACACUGAUGCUCGAAAGCCAGGGGAGCGAACGGGAUUAGAUACCCCGGUAGUCCUGGCCCUAAACGAUGUUCACUAGGUGUGGGGAGCGGAAAGCCCUCCGUGCUAAAGCUAACGCGAUAAGUGAACCGCCUGGGGAGUACGCCCGCAAGGGUGAAACUCAAAGGAAUUGACGGGGACCCGCACAAGCGGUGGAGCGUGUGGUUUAAUUCGAUGCUAAGCGAAGGACCUUACCAAGGUUUGACAUGCUAAUGGUAGUGAAUUGAAAGAGGAACGACCACACUAUGUGUGGAGUUAGCACAGGUGGUGCAUGGCC